GAUGAACGCUGGCGGCGUGCCUAAUACAUGCAAGUCGAGCGAACGGACGAGAAGCUUGCUUCUCUGAUGUUAGCGGCGGAAGGGUGAGUAACACGUGGAUAACCUACCUAUAAGACUGGGAUAACUUCGGGAAACCGGAGCUAAUACCGGAUGAUAUUUUGAACCGCAUGGUUCAAAAGUGAAAGACGGUCUUGCUGUCACUUCUAGAUGGAUCCGCGCUGCAUUAGCUAGUUGGUAAGGUAACGGCUUACCAAGGCAACGAUGCAUAGCCGACCGGAGAGGGUGAUCGGCCACACUGGAACUGAGAGACGGUCCAGACUCCUACGGGAGGCAGCGGUAGGGAAGCGUCCGCGAUGGGCGAAAGCCUGACGGAGCAACGCCGCGUGAGUGAUGAAGGGCUUCGGAUCGUAAAACUCUGUUAUUAGGGAAGAACAUAUGUGUAAGUAACUGUGCACAUCUUGACGGUACCUAAUCAGAAAGCAACGGCUAACUACGUG
rnacentral:rRNA from 1 species